CACCUCCUAAUAUAUCGGCCUCGUCUAGACGAAUUGGAGGCGUGUAAUGAUUUGAAACUCAUCCUGAAAUAUCUGUGGACUGUGCUGACCGUGCUGAGAUGAGUGGUUCGGCGAGGCGGACCUUGGAAACACCUACAUGGCCAUCACGACUGAAGUGGUGUUCGCCGACAGGUAAAAUGCAGGUGCAACCUUCACAGACUGACAGAGAUUGAGUGAUAACAGACACUGGAGACCCUCCAAGCGAUGGCUGGUGACCGCCUGCCACCAUCCACAGGCUGUCACACAAGGAGCCCUGGGAGUAACCUUGCUGGAAGCCCCGCGGGCUGCAGUGUGUGGCUGGCGUUAUACAGCCCCCAGCCAUCGCCUGGAGGGCAUCCAGUGUCUGUUAUCACUCACCUUAGGUAGUCUGUGAAGGUCCAGUCAUCACUGGUGCACGUGUAUCUUACCUGUGAUCAACACCGGCAGCCACAGACUCCUGCCCAAGGAACGAACACAGUGAUCGUGAUGACAUUGACAACAACGAGCAAGUCCUCCUAGACCUAGAGUGACCUCAAGCUGGGCCAAACAUGAUGUGGAAGAAGAAAUCAUUUGUCUCCAUCAGUCGGGUUUGUGCCAUGGCAGCUUUCUCCAGCUGUCCGGCAGAGGUCUAGUCCAUGCCAUGGAGAAAUUCAGCCCCCAACAAUGAGAUGGCAUGCCAGAGAUGGAUCCGCAGCUUCUCCUCCAAUCAAUCAAUCCUUGCAAUGCCCUUUCUCUUUUCUCUCCUUCUGUACCACCAUGCUUACACAUAACUGAUCCAAGGUACUUAAACUCGUUAACCUCCUCCAUUUCUCCACCAUUCAAAAUUACCUGGCCUUCUUUUUUCACAUUCAAUGCCCACUCUAUAUGGGCAUACAAACACUAUAACCUCCCUUCUACUCCGCUCACAAACCAUCACUUUCCUUUUGUUGACAUUUACUUUCAACUUUCUCCUUUUACAUACACUAUCAAAAACACUGACCAAAUUUUGUCACUUUCAUUUUCUGCAUUGAGCACCGUGUCAUCAGCAAAUAAGAUUGAAUUCAUCAACCACUUCCUUCCCUCCCUCAGCAUACAUUUUUACUUCAAUUUCCCCAACUUUGCCCUUCAUUUCUCAUAACACCAUCCAUAUAAAUAUUGAACAACCAUGAUGACAUAUAUAUCUUUAAGACGUCCCACAAUGCCAGCCAAUCGACUCUGUCAUAAACUUUCUUUAGAAUAACUAGAUCCAUGAAGGCAGCAUAGUAUUUGUUCCUUUUGCUAAUAUUUUUUCUAAUAAAACACCAUACUGAAGGAAAAUAUCUGAUCCACACAUCCUCUUCCCUUCCUAAAGUCUCCUUGUUCUUCACUGAUUUUCUCUUCUGUAAGUCUUUGCAGUCUCAAUUAGGACUUUUCCAUAUACCUUUCCAGGUAGCCUACACUCAGCAGACUUAUACCCCUACAACUCCCACCUCCCCUCUCCUGCCCUUCUUGUAAACUGGGACCAUGAUGGCUUUUGUCAAGUCUGCUGGGACCUCCCCCCCCCCUUCCCAGGCCACUUCACAUAUCUUGACCAUUCAUAUAGUAACUUCAUCUCCACACUUCAACAUUUCUGCUGUGAUUCCUCUCAAUUCAUUCAUCAUCAUCA